UGGGGGAUUUUGGACAAUGGGCGAAAGCCUGAUCCAGCAAUGCCGCGUGUGUGAAGAAGGCCUUCGGGUUGUAAAGCACUUUUGUCCGGAAAGAAAUGGCUCUGGUUAAUACCUGGGGUCGAUGACGGUACCGGAAGAAUAAGGACCGGCUAACUACGUGCCAGCAGCCGCGGUAAUACGUAGGGUCCAAGCGUUAAUCGGAAUUACUGGGCGUAAAGCGUGCGCAGGCGGUUGUGCAAGACCGAUGUGAAAUCCCCGAGCUUAACUUGGGAAUUGCAUUGGUGACUGCACGGCUAGAGUGUGUCAGAGGGGGGUAGAAUUCCACGUGUAGCAGUGAAAUGCGUAGAGAUGUGGAGGAAUACCGAUGGCGAAGGCAGCCCCCUGGGAUAACACUGACGCUCAUGCACGAAAGCGUGGGGAGCAAACAGG
rnacentral:rRNA from 1 species